GACGUAGGGCGCGAGCGUUGUCCGGAUUUAUUGGGCGUAAAGAGCUCGUAGGCGGUCUGUCGCGUCGGCUGUGAAAACCCGGGGCUCAACCCCGGGCCUGCAGUCGAUACGGGCAGACUAGAGUGCGGUAGGGGAGACUGGAAUUCCUGGUGUAGCGGUGAAAUGCGCAGAUAUCAGGAGGAACACCGGUGGCGAAGGCGGGUCUCUGGGCCGUUACUGACGCUGAGGAGCGAAAGCGUGGGGAGCGAACAGG
rnacentral:rRNA from 1 species